AGGGUUUCCCAGAGGAAGAGAGAGAAUUUGGACAAAUGAAUGAGGAACAACGCUCUCCUGAGGGUUUUCUUUAAGGGGCGAGGAUCACUGCCGCUAGCUCCUUUGAAAGCAAAGUUAAGAGGCAGCGCAGGAAGGCACAGCAGGAAGGCUCAUGGUUAGACUACAGAGAAGGAAGCAGCCACUGCUGGGGACCUACCCUGUGCUGGUCACUGACAAGCUGUCUCAUUAAACCUUCCCGGACCCUCAACCCCUCCUAGUAUCUUAUCCUCAUUUUACAGAUGAGAAGACUGCGGCCAAGAGAGGUCCAAUGCCAGUGGGAUCAGCUUCGAUGGGAUGCGCACAGACUGACCUCUUCUCCCCAGCCCCUUCAACUUCCCAGAGCUGCAGGGGGCCUGGGAGUUCUUGGUAACAGCACAUUAAACCUCUGUUUGUGGGAACUUUAAUUUAAACACAAAUUAGAGAAGGCAAAUGACUCUGGCAGCCAGAUAAGCCAUCCCAGGAAAACAAGGAGAAAGCCAAGAGAAUCAGCCCAGAUAAGGUCUGACUUUAAACUACUGCUGAUACCCAGAAGCCUGGGACAGAUGAAAUCUAGGGGUCCUGAAUGAAGAACCCCAGAAGCUCCACACCCCAGUUGUCCUUGCUCUGGGCUCUAUGCCAGCUCCCUUUCCUGUGUUCUCUAUAUUUCUAUCUUUUUGCAAAAUUUUAUCCUGAUUCUUUGGCUCCAUCCCUCCCACCCCCACCCUACUGUUUUAGAGAAUGCACUUUCUUUACUUUGCUUCUCAUCUUCUUCUGUGACCUACUAUUCUGAGAAAGUUCUACUUGUUAUCUAACCUCCAUCUAUGCUACUACCUUUAGAGUCUAAUACAUCCUGCUUAGUGAUAA
ensembl:lncRNA FAM242A family with sequence similarity 242 member A